UGGAACUAUAGAUGCAAACAAUGUCCUCAUUCACUAGCCUGCAUCCCCAUCGAUAAUAUUUGCAUUGAACGUGCAGCGGCAAAGUUAGGUACACGUGGGACUGGCUUAUGCAAAAAGUGUUUAACUGUUGUUGAGAUUUCUUCACCUAUUCAGGUACCUUGCAAAACUAUUUGCGUUUUUUGCCGUUCGCGUUGCGUGGCCGCUUCGUUUGCUUGCACUGUGCUCCGAUCUGGUGAAGGGCGCCAAGGAGAAGCAGCUCAAGGUCAAGGGACCCGCCAGGAUGCCUACCAAGGUGCUCAACAUCACCACCAGGAAGUCCCCCUAUGGAGAAGGUAGUCGCCUACCACUCAUGUGAUCUAAAAUAACAUUAUGUAAAACAAUCUAACGAGCUAUGGGUCCAGCCAAAUGCUGAACCAUCUAUUCCUUCAUAUUCUUAAUUAGUGAGUGGGGCAAAUCUUUUACUUCGAUUCAAAAA